rnacentral:rRNA from 1 species
GACGAACGCUGGCGGCGUGCUUAACACAUGCAAGUCGAACGAAGAGCGAUGGAAGCUUGCUUCUAUCAAUCUUAGUGGCGAACGGGUUAGUAACGCGUAAUCAACCUGCCCUUCAGAGGGGGACAACAGUUGGAAACGACUGCUAAUACCGCAUACGAUCUAAUCUCGGCAUCGAGGAUAGAUGAAAGGUGGCCUCUACAUGUAAGCUAUCACUGAAGGAGGGGAUUGCGUCUGAUUAGCUAGUUGGAGGGGUAGCGGCCCACCAAGGCGAUGAUCAGUAGCCGGUCUGAGAGGAUGAACGGCCACAUUGGGACUGAGACACGGCCCAGACUCCUACGGGAGGCAGCAGUGGGGAAUCUUCCGCAAUGGACGAAAGUCUGACGGAGCAACGCCGCGUGAGUGAUGACGGCCUUCGGGUUGUAAAGCUCUGUUAAUCGGGACGAAAGGCCUUCUUGCGAACAGUUAGAAGGAUUGACGGUACCGGAAGAGAAAGCCACGGCUAACUACGUG